AUUGAACGCUGGCGGCAGGCCUAACACAUGCAAGUCGAACGAGUGGCGGACGGGUGAGUAAUGUCUGGGAAACUGCCCGAUGGAGGGGGAUAACUACUGGAAACGGUAGCUAAUACCGCAUACCAUCGGAUGUGCCCAGAUGGGCUUAGCUUGUAGGUGAGGGAACGGCUCACCUAGGCGACGAUCCCUAGCUGGUCUGAGAGGAUGACCAGCCAGACUGUAACUGAGACACGGUCCAGCAUCCUACGGGAGGCAGCAGUGGGUAAUAUUGCAAAAUGGGCGCAAGCCUGAUGCAGCCAUGCCGCGUGUAUGAAGAAGGAGUUCGGGUUGUAAAGUACUUUCAGCGGGGAGGCGUUACUCGCAGAAGAAGCACCGGCUAACUCCGUGCCAGCCGCCGCGGUAAUUC
rnacentral:rRNA from 1 species